rnacentral:rRNA from 1 species
GAUGAACGCUGGCGGCGUGCCUAAUACAUGCCAGUCGAGCGAACGGACGAGAAGCUUGCUUUUCUGAUGUUAGCGGCGGACGGGUGAGUAACACGUGGAUAACCUACCUAUAAGACUGGGAUAACUUCGGGAAACCGGAGCUAAUACCGGAUAAUAUUUUGAACCGCAUGGUUCAAAAGUGAAAGACGGUCUUGCUGUCACUUAUAGAUGGAUCCGCGCUGCAUUAGCUAGUUGGUAAGGUAACGGCUUACCGAGGCAACGAUGCAUAGCCGACCUGAGAGGGUGAUCGGCCACACGGGAACUGAGACACGGUCCAGACUCCUACGGGAGGCAGCAGUAGGGAAUCUUCCGCAAUGGGCGAAAGCCUGACGGAGCAACGCCGCGUGAGUGAUGAAGGUCUUCGGAUCGUAAAACUCUGUUAUUAGGGAAGAACAUAUGUGUAAGUAACUGUGCACAUCUUGACGGUACCUAAUCAGAAAGCCACGGCUAACUACGUG